rnacentral:lncRNA from 10 species
CCGGCAGCCCCGUCCCCCUCCCGCCCUUGGUUUUAGCAGAACGGGUAAACUCUGUUUCCUUUGUCCGUCCUGUUGUGAGUAACUGAAGCCUAGGCCCCGUCCCCACCUCAAAUCACACACACCCCCUCCCCACCACAGAGACACCAUUACAUACACAGACACACACAGAAAGACACACACAGACACAAAAUCACACACACACCCUCCCCGCCACAGAGACACCAUUACAUACACAGACACACACAGAAAGACACAGACACAAAAUCACACACACACCCUCCCCGCCACAGAGACACACCAUUACAUACACAGACACACACAGACACACAAUCACAGAUACCCCCUCCCGGCCAUAGAGACACACCGUUACACACACAUACACAGAAAGACACACACAGCCCCUCCCCGCCACAGAGACACACCAUUACAUACACAGACACACACACACACACAAUCACACACACACCCCCCGCCACAGAGACACACCGUUACAUACACAGACAUACACACACACACAGACAUACACCAGACACGCAAAGACACACAGACACAGAUACACAGAUACAAAGACACAGACAUAUAGACACACAGACAUGCACAGAGACACAUGGAGACACAUGCAAAAAUGCACAGAGAAAGACAUACAGAAGUGUACACACAGACACAUAGACCACACAGACACACAGACAUGCAUGCAAACACACAGACAUGCAGACAUGCACACAAACACAGACUCACGCACACAGACUUAGGCAGCCCAAAUUCAGCGCCUGGGGCAUAAGUUCCUGGAGGGGUGGCCACCUUCAGCCCCCACGGUAAGGUCCUGAGGAACCUUCCCCUUAGACAAGGG